rnacentral:rRNA from 1 species
AUUGAACGCUGGCGGCAGGCUUAACACAUGCAAGUCGAGCGGAGAUGAGGUGCUUGCACCUUAUCUUAGCGGCGGACGGGUGAGUAAUGCUUAGGAAUCUGCCUAUUAGUGGGGGACAACAUUCCGAAAGGAAUGCUAAUACCGCAUACGCCCUACGGGGGAAAGCAGGGGAUCUUCGGACCUUGCGCUAAUAGAUGAGCCUACGUCGGAUUGGCUAGUUGGUGGGGUAAAGGCCUACCAAGGCGACGAUCUGUAGCGGGCCUGAGAGGAUGGGCCGCCACACUGGGACUGAGACACGGCCCAGACUCCUACGGGAGGCAGCAGUGGGGAAUAUUGGACAAUGGGCGGAAGCCUGAUCCAGCCAUGCCGCGUGUGUGAAGAAGGCCCUUUGGUUGUAAAGCACUUUAAGCGAGGAGGAGGCUACCUGGAUUAAUACUCUAGGAUAGUGGACGUUACUCGCAGAAUAAGCACCGGCUAACUCUGUGCCAGCCGCCGCAGUAAGAC